rnacentral:rRNA from 1 species
CCUGACUGCUAUCGGAUUGAUACUAAGCCAUGUGAGUUUUUGUAGCAAUACAAGGCAUACGGCUCAGUAACACGUAGUCAAUCUAACCUAUGGACGAGGAUAACCUCGGGAAACUGAGAAUAAUACUCGAUAGAUCAUUAUGCCUGGAACGGUUUAUGGUUAAAAUGAAUUUCGCCAUAGGAUGGGACUGCGGUCUAUCAGCUUGUUGGUGAUGUAAUGGACCACCAAGGCUAUAACAGAUACGGGCUCUGAGAGGAGAAGCCCGGAGAUGGGUACUGAAACACGGACCCAGGCCCUAUGGGGCGCAGCAGGCGAGAAAACUUUGCAAUGUGCGAAAGCACGACAAGGUUAAUCCGAGUGAUUCCUGCUAAAGGAACCUUUUGUUAGUCGUAAAAACACUAACGAAUAAGGGGUGGGCAAGUUCUGGUGUCAGCCGCCGCGGUAAAACCAGCACCUCAAGUGGUCAGGAUGAUUAUUGGGCCUAAAGCAUCCGUAGCCUGCUCUGUAAGUUUUCGGUUAAAUCUGUACGCUCAACGUACAGGCUGCCGGAAAUACUGCAGAGCUAGGGAGUGGGAGAGGUAGACGGUACUCGGGAGGAAGUGGUAAAAUGCUUUGAUCUCUCGAUGACCACCUGUGGCGAAGGCGGUCUACCAGAACACGUCCGACGGUGAGGGAUGAAAGCUGGGGGAGCAAACCGGAUUAGAUACCCGGGUAGUCCCAGCUGUAAACUAUGCAAACUCAGUGAUGCAUUGGCUUGUGGCCAAUGCAGUGUUGCGGGGAAGCCGUUAAGUUUGCCGCCUGGGAAGUACGUACGCAAGUAUGAAACUUAAAGGAAUUGGCGGGGGAGCACCACAAGGGGUGAAGCCUGCGGUUC